rnacentral:rRNA from 1 species
GAUGAACGCUGACAGAAUGCUUAACACAUGCAAGUCUUUGGCGAAUCUGUGCUUGCACAGGCUAGCCAAGGCGGACGGGUGAGUAACGCGUAAAGAACUUGCCCUGCAGACAGGGAUAACAGACGGAAACGACUGAUAACACCUGAUACAGUUGCCGGCACGCAUGUGCCUGGCAAUGAAAAGAGAUGCUGCAGGAGAGCUUUGCGUCCUAUUAGCUUGUUGGUGAGGUGACGGCUCACCAAGGCGAUGAUAGGUAGCCGGCCUGAGAGGGUGAACGGCCACAAGGGGACUGAGAUACGGCCCUUACUCCUACGCGAGGCAGCAGUGGGGAAUAUUGGACAAUGGGGGCAACACUGAUCCAGCAAUUCUGUGUGGACGAAGAAGGUUUUCGGAUUGUAAAGUGCUUUCAGCAGGGAAGAAGAAAGUGACGGUACCUGCAGAAGAAGCGACGGCUAAAUACGUG